AGCUCCAAUAGCGUAUAUUAAAGUUGUUGCAGUUAAAAAGCUCGUAGUUGGAUUUCUGUUCAAGCAUAGUUGCCUGCCUUUGGUAUGCGCAGCUUUUGUUUGAGCAUUUUCCUACGGUCUGUCGACUAUUCACUUAGCCGUCAGAGUGUAGGGCCUUUACUUUGAGAAAAUUAGAGUGUUUCAAGCAAGCGAUUGCUUUGAAUACUGCAGCAUGGAAUAAUAUCAUAGGACUUCGGUUCUAUAUAUUGGUUCUAGAACCGCAGUAAUGAUUAAUAGGGACAGUUGGGGGCACUCGUAUUUGACUGUCAGAGGUGAAAUUCUUGGAUUUGUUAAAGACGAACUACUGCGAAAGCAUUUGCCAAGGAUGUUUUCA
rnacentral:rRNA from 1 species